AGAAGGAGCUUGCUUCUUCGAUCGAGUGGCGAACGGGUGAGUAACGCGUGAGGAACCUGCCUCAAAGAGGGGGACAACAGUUAGAAAUGACUGCUAAUACCGCAUAAGCGCACAGCUUCGCAUGAAGCAGUGUGAAAAACUCCGGUGGUACAGGAUGGACCCGCGUCUGAUUAGAUAGUUGGUGAGGUAACGGCCCACCAAGUCAACGAUCAGUAGCCGGCCUGAGAGGGCGAACGGCCACAUUGGGACUGAGACACGGCCCAAACUCC
rnacentral:rRNA from 1 species